rnacentral:rRNA from 1 species
UGUGAGGGUUGCUGGAGGUAUCAGAAGUGCGAAUGCUGACAUAAGUAACGAUAAAGCGGGUGAAAAGCCCGCUCGCCGGAAGACCAAGGGUUCCUGUCCAACGUUAAUCGGGGCAGGGUGAGUCGACCCCUAAGGCGAGGCCGAAAGGCGUAGUCGAUGGGAAACGGGUUAAUAUUCCCGUACUUGGUGUUACUGCGAAGGGGGGACGGAGAAGGCUAUGUUGGCCGGGCGACGGUUGUCCCGGUUUAAGCGUGUAGGUGUGUGUUCCAGGUAAAUCCGGUUCACUUUAACACUGAGGCGUGACGACGAGGCACUACGGUGCUGAAGCAACAAAUGCCCUGCUUCCAGGAAAAGCCUCUAAGCAUCAGGUAACAUCAAAUCGUACCCCAAACCGACACAGGUGGUCAGGUAGAGAAUACCAAGGCGCUUGAGAGAACUCGGGUGAAGGAACUAGGCAAAAUGGUGCCGUAACUUCGGGAGAAGGCACGCUGACACGUAGGUGAAGUGAUUUACUCAUGGAGCUGAAGUCAGUCGAAGAUACCAGCUGGCUGCAACUGUUUAUUAAAAACACAGCACUGUGCAAACACGAAAGUGGACGUAUACGGUGUGACGCCUGCCCGGUGCCGGAAGGUUAAUUGAUGGGGUCAGCGCAAGCGAAGCUCCUGAUCGAAGCCCCGGUAAACGGCGGCCGUAACUAUAACGGUCCUAAGGUAGCGAAAUUCCUUGUCGGGUAAGUUCCGACCUGCACGAAUGGCGUAAUGAUGGCCAGGCUGUCUCCACCCGAGACUCAGUGAAAUUGAACUCGCUGUGAAGAUGCAGUGUACCCGCGGCAAGACGGAAAGACCCCGUGAACCUUUACUAUAGCUUGACACUGAACAUUGAGCCUUGAUGUGUAGGAUAGGUGGGAGGCUUUGAAGUGUGGACGCCAGUCUGCAUGGAGCCGACCUUGAAAUACCACCCUUUAAUGUUUGAUGUUCUAACGUGGACCCGUUACCCGGGUUGCGGACAGUGUCUGGUGGGUAGUUUGACUGGGGCGGUCUCCUCCUAAAGAGUAACGGAGGAGCACGAAGGUUGGCUAAUCCUGGUCGGACAUCAG